AUAUCUUACAUGAGAAAAACCUGUUCUCUUGAGAGAUCAGAGGCGCAGAGUGCGUCAAUGUCAAUGAAGCCUGUGCCUUUUACCUCUUUAAGAGCGCACGGUUUCAUUCUGCUUCUAAACC
rnacentral:precursor_RNA from 12 species